GGGCCGGUAGCUCAGCCGGUCAGAGCGCGCCCCUGAUAAGGGCGAGGUCGGUGGUUCAAGUCCACCUCGGCCCACCA
rnacentral:tRNA from 1 species